ACUCUGGGUGGUAAAUAAAAAAAUAUGAAAAUCAAUACACAAUGAACUUUAUGUAGAAAUAAACAUAGUUAUACUGAUUUUAUGUCGUAAAUAUACAUGAUUUAUUUAUUAUGUUAAAAUUAAAAAUUGAUAUUUUUAAUCUGUAUAUCACGUGACUAAAAACACGAGCCGCCAUGCUGUGACGUCAUAUUGGCAAUAAUCAUUCGCUGUCAUCUGUCAACAACUUUUUUAUUUCUAUUCGCAUUCUAUUCGUCAAAAUUAUUCAGUUGAUAUUUAUUUAAAUCAUACGAAAUAAGUUAAAUACUACUAAAAACACGAAAUGGAAGCCGGUUUCGUAAAAGCAGAUAGUACGAACUUACCAAAAAUCGACACGAUGAUGGUUGCAAAGUUCUUUGCAUGUAAUCCAGAUUUCUGUUCUGCCUAAUUCCGGAAUAUAAAAACAUCUUUAUCUGCAAGAGAAUCGUAUGGCGACGAUGCUAUCGGAUACGUGCAACUACAAAGGACCCAAGCUUUAUGUACUAUAAAGUGUACAAUAUGUCCGGAACAUAAAGUUCGUUCCAAACCAUAUUCUGCAACUCUCAUUGUAGAUGGGCAAGAAGAUGAUGUGCUACAGGUGACAUGCCAUGAUUGUCCUGCGUCUGCCGGUGGAUGUAAACAUGCAGUAGCGUUUUUAAUGUGGUGUCAUCGUAGAAGUGAAGAGCCAUCAUGCACUUCAGUCCAAUGUUAUUGGAAAAAAUCGACACUAUCAAAGGUCGGAUCUUCAAUAAAAAUUAUGACAACGAAAGAAAUGACAAAAAAGAAGCUAAAAAGUGCUGUGGGUUUAGACAAAGUGCAAAUUAUAAUCGCAAACCAGUUGGAAAGUGGUCGAAAAGCCCCUUUUUUGUAUGGAGUUUUGACGGAUUCGAUUCGAUCAAAAAGUGCGUUUUGUCUAGGGGGGUUGAAACUAAUAUAGGUGACAGUGUAGUUGAAGAUUUUUUAAUUAAAUCUAAAAAAAGAAAACUUACUUCUUGUCAAUAUUUAAAGCAUGAAAAUGACAAUAAAGUGAAUAUUAUAGAGAUUGCAUAUGAUCAAAUAUAUGUGUCAGAACUGCUCCACAGUGUUAUUUCAUUUUGGAAAAGAAAUAUUUUUCCCAUUUUAUAUGAAACUGUACAAAUAUAAUAAAAAAAGUACUUUAAAUAAUAA